AGUCGUAUCGGUAUAAGUAAGGUACACUAAAUGUGUGCGUUUGCGAGCGCUGGCUCGCGACUGAUUGGUCCAACACGCACGCACACUUACGCAAUGCCCAUGUUUACAAGUAAAGAUCACUCGCCUUCGUGAAUUGCAAGAACUGUCUGUAAAAA